GCGGCGCGGGUUCUCAGGUGAGCGCUACACGGUCGGGGCGGGCCUUGCAGGCGCUUCAGGCUUAGGGGCGGAAGCAGCGCGGGCCGCGCGGGCGUAGGCGGGGUAUCUGGAGGAGGCGCAGGGAACCUGGAGAGGGUCCAGCCCUCAGUGCCCCGGCCAGAGGCGGGAAGGGGCUCUAGAGCUUCGGGAGGCAAGAUGACUUCUCUGCCCCAAGCUUGGAACAGCUAAAGGGAAAAACAGUGCAAGAUGAGAACAACAAAGGUCUACAAACUCGUCAUCCACAAGAAGGGCUUUGGGGGCAGUGAUGAUGAGCUAGUUGUGAACCCCAAAGUGUUCCCUCACAUCAAGCUUGGAGACAUUGUAGAGAUUGCACACCCCAACGAUGAAUACAGCCCUCUGCUUUUGCAGGUCAAGUCACUUAAGGAAGAUUUACAGAAGGAAACUAUCAGUGUGGACCAGACUGUGACUCAAGUGUUCCGGCUGAGACCUUAUCAGGAUGUCUAUGUUAAUGUCGUAGACCCUAAGGAUGUGACCCUUGACCUAGUGGAAUUAACUUUUAAGGAUCAGUACAUUGGCCGUGGGGAUAUGUGGCGACUAAAGAAAAGUUUGGUCAGCACAUGUGCCUAUAUCACCCAGAAGGUGGAGUUUGCUGGCAUCAGAGCACAGGCUGGUGAACUGUGGGUUAAGAAUGAGAAGGUCAUGUGUGGUUACAUCAGUGAAGAUACCAGGGUGGUGUUUCGUUCUACGUCGGCUAUGGUUUACAUAUUUAUUCAGAUGAGCUGUGAAAUGUGGGAUUUUGAUAUUUAUGGGGAUUUGUAUUUUGAGAAAGCUGUGAAUGGUUUCCUUGCUGAUCUAUUUACCAAGUGGAAGGAGAAGAACUGUAGUCAUGAAGUGACAGUGGUCCUGUUUUCUAGAACUUUCUAUGAUGCAAAAUCUGUUGAUGAAUUUCCUGAAAUAAACCGAGCCUCAAUUCGACAGGAUCACAAGGGGAGAUUCUAUGAAGACUUUUACAAAGUGGUGGUGCAGAAUGAGAGAAGAGAAGAAUGGACUUCACUUCUCGUAACCAUUAAAAAACUCUUCAUCCAGUAUCCAGUGUUGGUGCGACUGGAACAGGCAGAGGGCUUUCCUCAAGGAGAUAAUUCUACCUCAGCACAAGGAAACUACCUGGAGGCCAUCAAUCUGUCAUUCAAUGUGUUUGAUAAGCACUACAUCAACCGCAACUUUGACCGAACUGGACAGAUGUCAGUGGUGAUCACGCCCGGGGUGGGUGUCUUUGAAGUGGACCGCCUACUCAUGAUCCUGACCAAGCAGCGGAUGAUAGAUAAUGGAAUUGGUGUGGACUUGGUGUGCAUGGGAGAGCAACCAUUACAUGCUGUCCCAUUGUUCAAGCUCCAUAAUCGGAGUGCUCCCCGGGAUUCUCGUCUGGGCGAUGACUAUAAUAUCCCUCACUGGAUAAACCACAGUUUCUACACAUCCAAAAGCCAGCUCUUUUGUAAUAGUUUCACCCCACGAAUAAAACUGGCAGGAAAGAAGCCCGCCUCUGAGAAAGCAAAAAAUGGCCGUGAUACGUCUCUCGGGAGUCCAAAAGAAUCUGAGAACGCCCUUCCCAUCCAAGUAGAUUAUGACGCCUAUGACGCUCAAGUGUUCAGGCUGCCCGGCCCAUCCCGGGCCCAGUGCCUCGCCACCUGCAGGUUUUCUGCCAGAUUCACUUGGGGAUCUGUGCGAGAGCGAGAGAGUCACAGUCGAAAGAGUGCCAGCUCCUGUGAUGUUUCAUCCAGCCCUUCCCUACCAAGCCGCACACUGCCCACUGAGGAAGUGAGGAGCCAGGCUUCUGACGACAGCUCCCUAGGCAAGAGUGCCAACAUCCUGAUGAUCCCACACCCCCACCUGCACCAGUAUGAAGUCAGCAGCUCCUUGGGAUACACCAGCACUCGAGAUGUCCUGGAGAACAUGAUGGAGCCACCGCAGCGAGACUCCAGUGCACCAGGGAGGUUUCACGUUGGCAGUGCAGAAUCCAUGCUGCAUGUUCGACCUGGUGGAUACACGCCCCAGAGAGCACUGAUUAACCCCUUCGCUCCCUCUCGGAUGCCCAUGAAGCUUACAUCCAACAGAAGGCGCUGGAUGCACACUUUUCCUGUGGGACCAUCCGGAGAAGCCAUCCAGAUCCACCACCAGACCCGACAGAAUAUGGCGGAGCUACAAGGCAGCGGGCAGAGGGAUCCAACUCACUCCUCUGCAGAGCUGCUGGAGUUAGCAUAUCAUGAAGCUGCUGGAAGGCACAGCAAUUCCCGCCAGCCUGGUGACGGCAUGUCCUUCUUGAACUUCAGUGGAACAGAGGAGCUUUCUGUCGGCCUGCUUAGCAACAGUGGUGCAGGUAUGAAUCCUAGGACCCAGAAUAAGGAUUCUCUAGAGGACAGUGUUUCUACCUCUCCAGACCCAAUUCUGACACUGUCUGCUCCCCCUGUAGUGCCAGGCUUCUGUUGCACAGUUGGAGUGGACUGGAAGUCUCUCACUACUCCGGCGUGCCUCCCCCUUACCACCGACUACUUCCCUGACCGCCAGGGCCUGCAGAAUGACUACACAGAGGGCUGUUAUGAUCUCCUUCCAGAAGCAGACAUCGACAGGAGGGACGAAGAUGGUGUGCAGAUGACAGCCCAGCAGGUGUUUGAAGAGUUUAUUUGCCAACGUCUCAUGCAGGGCUACCAAAUCAUAGUGCAGCCCAAGACACAGAAACCCAAUCCCGCCGUCCCGCCCCCGCUGAGCAGUAGCCCACUCUAUAGCCGAGGCCUUGUGUCCCGAAACCGCCCCGAGGAGGAGGACCAGUAUUGGCUGAGUAUGGGCAGAACGUUCCACAAAGUGACGCUGAAGGAUAAGAUGAUCACAGUGACGCGAUACCUUCCCAAGUAUCCUUAUGAAUCUGCCCAGAUCCACUACACCUACAGCCUCUGUCCUUCCCACUCAGACUCAGAGUUCGUCUCCUGCUGGGUGGAAUUCUCCCACGAACGGCUGGAGGAGUACAAGUGGAAUUACUUAGAUCAGUAUAUCUGUUCUGCCGGCUCUGAAGACUUCAGCUUAAUUGAGUCCCUGAAGUUCUGGAGGACCCGCUUCCUGCUGCUGCCAGCCUGUGUCACCGCCACCAAGCGCAUCACGGAGGGGGAGGCCCACUGCGACAUCUAUGGGGACAGGCCCCGUGCAGACGAGGACGAGUGGCAACUCCUGGAUGGUUUUGUCCGCUUUGUGGAGGGCUUGAAUCGCAUUCGCAGGCGGCAUCGCUCGGAUCGCAUGAUGCGGAAAGGGACCGCCAUGAAAGGCUUGCAGAUGACUGGGCCCAUUUCCACGCAUUCUCUGGAGUCAACUGCACCCCCAGUGGGGAAGAAGGGAACCUCAGCUCUCUCUGCCCUGUUGGAGAUGGAGGCCAGUCAGAAGUGCCUGGGAGAACAGCAGGCAGCUGUGCAUGGUGGGAAGAGCUCCGCCCAGUCAGCCGAGAGCGGCAGCGUUGCCAUGACUCCCACCUACAUGGACAGCCCACGAAAGGACGGGGCCUUCUUUAUGGAGUUUGUCCGCAGCCCACGCACAGCAUCGUCCGCCUUCUACCCUCAGGUAUCUGUGGACCAAACAGCCACUCCUAUGUUGGACGGCACCAGUUUGGGCGUAUGCACAGGCCAAUCCAUGGACAGAGGCAACAGCCAGACCUUUGGGAACUCCCAGAACAUAGGAGAACAGGGCUACUCCUCCACAAACUCCAGUGACAGCAGCUCUCAGCAGCUGGUGGCAAGCUCCUUGACCUCAUCCUCCACCCUGACAGAGAUCCUGGAAGCCAUGAAGCACCCCUCGACAGGAGUCCAGCUGCUCUCUGAACAGAAGGGCCUCUCACCGUACUGCUUCAUCAGCGCGGAGGUGGUGCACUGGCUGGUGAACCACGUGGAGGGGAUCCAGACACAGGCGAUGGCCAUUGACAUCAUGCAGAGCAUGACUGAGGGCUGCCCCUUCAAGAUGCCUCUCUGCAGGAAUUUCAGAGUUUCAAUGUCUCUCCUAGAAAAUGCUGGAAGAGCAGCUCAUCACACAUGCAUCUGGCGAAGCCUGGCGGACCUUCAUCUACGGCUUCUAUUUCUACAAGAUAGUAACGGACAAAGAGCCUGACCGAGUGGCCAUGCAGCAGCCUGCCACCACCUGGCACACAGCAGGAGUGGACGACUUCGCCAGCUUCCAGCGCAAGUGGUUUGAGGUGGCCUUUGUGGCAGAAGAGCUCGUGCACUCUGAGAUUCCUGCCUUUCUCCUGCCCUGGCUGCCUAGCCGGCCAGCCUCCUAUGCAAGUAGGCACAGCUCCUUUAGCCGAAGUUUUGGAGGACGGAGCCAGGCGGCAGCACUUUUAGCUGCCACUGUCCCAGAGCAGAGGACUGUGACCCUGGAUGUUGACGUGAACAACCGCACAGACCGGCUGGAGUGGUGCAGCUGUUAUUACCAUGGCAACUUUUCUCUGAACGCAGCCUUUGAGAUCAAGCUGCACUGGAUGGCGGUGACCGCAGCAGUACUCUUCGAGAUGGUCCAAGGUUGGCAUCGGAAAGCCACCUCCUGUGGCUUCUUGUUAGUCCCAGUUUUAGAGGGGCCUUUUGCACUGCCCAGUUACCUGUAUGGCGACCCCCUUCGUGCCCAGCUCUUCAUCCCACUCAACAUCAGCUGCUUGCUCAAGGAGGGCAGCGAGCACCUGUUUGAUAGCUUUGAACCCGAAACGUACUGGGAUCGAAUGCACCUCUUCCAGGAAGCCAUUGCACACAGGUUUGGGUUUGUACAAGAUAAAUAUUCUGCCUCUGCUUUUAACUUCCCUGCUGAGAACAAGCCUCAGUAUAUCCACGUUACAGGAACAGUGUUUCUGCAGCUGCCCUACUCCAAGCGCAAGUUCUCAGGGCAGCAGCGGCGGCGGCGGAACUCCACCAGCUCCACCAACCAGAACAUGUUCUGCGAGGAGCGGGUCGGCUACAACUGGGCCUACAACACCAUGCUCACCAAAACAUGGCGCUCCAGUGCCACAGGGGAUGAAAAGUUUGCUGAUCGGCUGCUGAAGGACUUCACGGACUUCUGCAUCAACCGUGACAACCGGCUGGUCACGUUCUGGACAAGUUGCCUGGAGAAGAUGCAUGCCAGUGCCCCGUGAGGCCAGGCUGCACCAGGGUUAGAAGGCUGUGCCUGUGCUGGGGGAAGGUGGGUGAGCCGCUGCCCUCAAACCCGGGGCGGAGGAUUCCAGGCAGGCUCUAGGAGUCAGGUGUCCGUUUGCUGCUAUCAGUGAGUGGGGGCCAUUGUUUUGUUUUGUUUUGUUUUGUUUUGUUUUGUUUUUGGCCCCCACGACAAGUCUUCUACUCUAGAAGAAAGACUUUGGAAGCAGCUGCUGCUGCUGCCACCAUUCCUGUCAGCAAGUGCUCAGAGCAGGUAGGAGGCACAGAUUGUCCGUGGGAGGGCUCCAGUGUCUGGGAAGAGGGCAGGCAGCCCCCAUGAAUGUCCUCGGAAGGGGGUGGCUCCUGGUAGCAUCCUUUUCCUUCACCAUCUAUGGGAUAUUAGGGGCAGAAUCUGCCACUUCUUGCCCAGGAGUGUGCACAGAUGUAAGAUAAUUUUGUGAAAUAAUGUACCAUAGACUCUCACCAACUGUAUAUACCUGUACAUAUCAGAAGCAAAUAAAGAGCUCCACGUGCAUCA